ACAGACUUUCACUCAGCUGCACACGGACAUGCAGACGGCCACGAGCAAGGAAUGCUUCAUCAUCUUCAUCAGGACACUUCAUCAUCACAGCCACCAGGAUGUUAGAGCUAGGAGGAUGAUGAUGAUGAAGGUUUGGGGUUCGCGUUGUCGUGCAGCUUCCUCCUGGACUGAAAUAACUUCUCCGCCUGAGGCAUCCAUCAGCUUCUCCUCCUCUGCAUCUUUAUCAACACUCACUGUGAAUUCUGACACUGACGUAGUUUUCCUGGUCAGCAGACACCUCCGAUCACGAUCAAACCGCCGUCGCACGGCCGACACCAGAAAUAAACCCAAAAUGUGUGAAGCUGGAAGGCUUCAUGCAGAGAGAGGAAUUACGAGCCCCGAUCAUCACGUCAGUGGAGAGAGUGGACAGCUUCCGGUACCUGGGUGUCCACAUCACUCUGUCAUGGUCCUGCAACAUCAACACCCUGGUUAAGAAAACCCGCCAGCGUCUCUUCUUCCUCAGAACACUUAGAGACUUCCAUCAUGUGGUUGACGGUGCUCAAGAACUUCCACUCCUGCACCAUCAAGAGCAUCCUGACGGGAAACAUCUACACCUGGUUUGGGAACAGCACCAAGCAGGACAGAUCUGCAAAGAGUGGUGAAGGCAUCAUUCGAUCAGAGCUUUCCGACCUGCUGUCCAGGUGUAGGACUCAUUCACCGCACACACUGUUUAUCUGCACACCUCUUAUCAUUUCUCUCUUAAAUUGUUAUUUGCACAUUUUUUUUACUGUAAAUUUCCAAGUUAAAAUCUGUCAGUUCUGUCAUGAUCUGUAAAUUCUUUAAUGGUCUGCCAUUGCACAGCAACAAGCAUUUCAACACGUCAUACUGUGUAUGGUUGUGUGUGAUAGCUUUAUGCUACAAACCUAUUCACUGGAACGUUAAGGACAAUUUAAUUACACAGCAAAGCAAGACACGAGUAGGCAAAGUUCUUCAUGUUUCUCGUGCACGGGAGAGAACUGGACAAACGCCGUUCCUUCGCUUGACCCCAGUUGCUCUCAUCUGCUCCCCCGUAACACUGC
ensembl:lncRNA